CAUGCACACACACAUACAUACAAAGACCUAAAAAAAAUCUAAAUAAUAGAAAUUAUGAGGGACUUCCAAGGAGAUGGCAAGGUGGUGAGCAGCAGAGAAACAGCCUCUCCAAGAUACAAAGUGCAGACACUGAAAUAUAGCAAUGUGAGUAAGAGAAAAGGGAGAGAACGGGUCUCUGGGACCCAGCAAGGAUCUGAAGUGAGAAUUGGAGCCCACAAGGAGAACAAAGAGAAGGAUCUCAACACUGAAGUGGGAAGUGGCAAGUGGCAGUUUCUCCUUGAGCCCUGACUCAAAGCAUGGGACAGACAGCUUGAACCUGCAGAGACACGGUGACUACUGGUGAUGCCACAGGUCUCCAUGGAGAAAUGCAACAGUGGAAUGGAGCAGUGGACCCUGUGAAAUGCAGUGGCUGGAGACUACAAUUAAAGGAUGUGGACUAACUGAUCUGGUGGAGGAAAGUUCAAGACAGCCCAACACUCAAGGGUCUCCGUUGACUUACCCGCGGGCCGGGACAAGUGGCGCCCAACGUGGGGCCAGAGAACGGGGGUUCCAGUGAAGGACGCUGCUCAGGGGCCCUAAGAUUAAGAUUGAGGAACAAAGAGCACACUCGACACGGGAGAGGCUUGCAAUUGACGUGGACCUGCCGUCUUUUUGCACCUCGGUAAGUUGAGCAGCGAUUAUGGGACAGGGCAUUAGUCAGCAUGAAUUGUUUGUGCAAGGUCUCAAGAAGACAUUACAGGCACGAGGGGUAAAGGUUACAGUCAAACAGUUGUUAAGAUUUUUUGAUUAUAUUAAAGAUCUCUGUCCCUGGUUCCCUGCUGAGGGAACCAUUGACGAACAGAGAUGGAAAAAGGUGGGGGAAGCUCUCCAGGAUUAUUAUGCCACUUGCGGACCCGG
rnacentral:lncRNA from 1 species